rnacentral:rRNA from 1 species
UAGGGAAUAUUAGUAAUGGGCGAAAGCCUGAACUAGCAACGCCGCGUGUGCGAAGAAGGCCUUCGGGUUGUAAAGCACUUUUUGAGAGGAUGAGGAAGGACGGUACUCUCAGAAUAAGUCUCGGCUAACUACGUGCCAGCAGCCGCGGUAACACGUAGGAGGCAAACGUUAUCCGGAUUUACUGGGCGUAAAGCGCGUGUAGGUGGUUUGGUAAGUAGGGCGUGAAAGCUCCUGGCUCAACUGGGAGAGGACGUUCUAAACUGCCAAGCUUGAGGAUGGAAGAGGGAGGUGGAAUUCCGGGUGUAGCGGUGGAAUGCGCAGAUAUCCGGAGGAACACCAGUGGCGAAGGCGGCCUCCUGGACCACUCCUGACACUCAGACGCGAAAGCUAGGGUAGCAAACGGG